GUGGAGUUUUUCAUUGGAAUCUGGGCUGCCAUGUGGCUCUGCAUGAUGCAGCCUUGCAAAUGUUGCUAUGGCAAUCCAUCAUAACAGGGUUCAGACUUGCAUAGUGUCAUGUCUGGUUCGUCCAUUAGCCAGGCACGUGGUGGUGUUCCUGUGGCCGUUCAAAUACAAGGUGGUGGUGGUAUGGGUGGGGCCCAAACUGGGGCACAGGGAUAUCAACCUCAAACGGUCCUGGCAGCUGCUUCCGGAAUGGUUGGCAGUCAAAGUCAGUGUGUUCAAGAUACCAUAUCUGGAGCUAUGGCAACAGACCUUCAGCUGACUGAGGUGCGUCCGUCCUAUGGACAGGGAAACCACAUGCCACUGGAAAAUGAACAGAUACCUAAGCCAUUAUAUUGGUACUUGUUACUGGUAUACUAAUCCUUAUUAUCAACGCGUUAGUUUUCAGUAAACUUUAUUAUUGCUCUUAAGUUUGGAGCAAUACUUCACAAUCUAACAUUACCAAACUCCAGACUGUUCAAAAUUUUGCCAGUAGAAUAUUAGCGGGUCUAAGAAGUAUAAUCAUGUUGCUCCCAUUCUCAGGAAACUCAACUGGCUCCCCCUGAAACAACAUUUGUAUUAUCGUGAUUCAAUCAUGGCAUUCUAAUGCAUGAAUGGCCUUGUCCCGAGGUGUCUAUCUGAUCAGUUUAUUGAGCUUUCAUCAAUAUCAAAACGCAACAUUAGAAAUUAACAGCUGCUAAAUAUUCCGUUAUUUAGCACUGCAACUGGCCAAAGAACUUUUUUACUAUCGUAUUGUAUCUCUCUGGAACGCUUUGCCGCACAAUAUUAAGUCACGUCCAUCGCUAGCCCAUUUUAUGACCAAAAAAAGGAAAAGACUCUUAAUGCAUAACUGUGAGGCUGAUAGUUUGUUACCUAGCAAGAAAUAGCUUAAUUACUCUGAUUUUUUAGUUCCUGUUAGAUUAGAAUCCUGUAGUGCUUUUUUAAUCUUAAAUUUUACUUGUAGAGACCUACUUUUAUUGUACUUUUGUUCAGUUUGUUGUACAUUUCACUGAAACGCCUCAUGGGGACGUGGAAUAGACGUAUAUAUGUAUACAGUAUGACUACACGAUUUCGAAGCCAAAUGGAUGUAUGCAGAGUAGUAGAUAUUUGGGACUGAAUCACUUAAGAUGGAGAGACUGAUAGUUUAAAAACAACCAAUUUAUUCUUGUGACUUAUGGAACACUUUUUGCUCACUGGUGUAGUUUUUAUCAGUUGCGUCAUGGUAAGGACAAAAUAACUAAACAUUUUUCAGAAAUGUUUCUACCUGCUAACGAUUAAAGUGUUCACCUCGUUA